ncrna:unclassified sequences Type-P5 twister ribozyme ribozyme sequence
GGUGACGGCACUCUCUUCUUAAUAGGGGAGAGUGUAAACCACGAUUCCAGUCCGAAGUCUGG